UACGAAGGGGGCGAGCGUUGUUCGGAAUUACUGGGCGUAAAGGGCGCGCAGGCGGCUCUGAAAGUCAGAUGUGAAAGCCCCGGGCUUAACCUGGGAAUUGCAUUUGAUACUCUGGAGCUUGAGUACGGGAGAGGAGAGUGGAAUUCCCAGUGUAGAGGUGAAAUUCGUAGAUAUUGGGAAGAACACCGGUGGCGAAGGCGGCUCUCUGGGCCGAUACUGACGCUGAGGAGCGAAAGCUAGGGGAGCAAACAGG
rnacentral:rRNA from 1 species